ACACAAAUAUAUCACAAACUAGGCCUCUUCCAAACAUCGCAACCGAUAUUAGACUUCAGUCGAUGUCGUCACCACCCAAAGUUCGCAGCCACAAACAGUGCCCCUCGUUGCUAAUCUUAUCAGAUAAAGCUAUCGGUCGGGCCGUAUCUCACGCAAUAGUCUUGAGCCGCGAGAUGGAAGGCACUUGGCGCCCUUUCCGGGAUCUUCCGGAAGAAUGAUUAUCUUUUCUGCUGGUGUUUGGAGUGUCCACUGGCCUCCAGAUAUCUUCAGCACCCGUAGCUGUGUAACUAUUGUAUUACCACGAUCUCACGACGUACUGGAUUGUGGGAUUGUGUGUUCACACUGUUUUUAUCUCCCGGUGCUGAUUAAUGACAU
rnacentral:misc_RNA from 1 species